GUACGGGAGGCAGCAGUGAGGAAUAUUGGGCAAUGGAGGCAACUCUGACCCAGCCAUGCCGCGUGCAGGAUGAAGGCGUUAUGCGUUGUAAACUGCUUUUAUAUAGGAAGAAACAGACCCUGCGAGGUAAAUUGACGGUACUAUAUGAAUAAGCACCGGCUAGCUCCGUGCCAGCAGCCGCGGUAAUACGGAGGGUGCAAGCGUUGUCCGGAUUUAUUGGGUUUAAAGGGUGCGUAGGCGGUUUAUUAAGUCAGUGGUGAAAGACGGUCGCUCAACGAUUGCAGUGCCAUUGAUACUGGUAGACUUGAGUAUGAUUGAGGUAGCUGGAAUGGAUAGUGUAGCGGUGAAAUGCAUAGAUAUUAUCCAGAACACCAAUUGCGAAGGCAAGUUACUAAGUCAUAACUGACGCUGAUGCACGAAAGUGUGGGUAUCAAACAGGAUUAGAUACCCCGGU
rnacentral:rRNA from 1 species